CCUACGGGGGGCAGCAGUGGGGAAUAUUGCGCAAUGGGCGAAAGCCUGAUGCAGCGACGCCGCGUGAGGGAUGAAGGUCUUCGGAUCGUAAACCUCUGUCAGCAGGGAAGAACGGUCACUGUGCUAAUCAGCAGUGACUUGACGGUACCUGCAAAGGAAGCACCGGCUAACUCCGUGCCAGCAGCCGCGGUAAUACGGAGGGUGCGAGCGUUAAUCGGAAGUACUGGGCGUAAAGCGCUCGUAGGCGGUAUGUCAAGUCAAGGGUGAAAUCCCCGCGCUCAACGUGGGAACUGCCUUUGAAACUGUGGAGCUGGAGUGUGUGAGAGGAUGGUGGAAUUCCAGGUGUAGGAGUGAAAUCCGUAGAUAUCUGGAGGAACAUCAGUGGCGAAGGCGACUAUCUGGCACAUAACUGACGCUGAGGAGCGAAAGCGUGGGUAGCAAACAGGAUUAGAUACCCGGGUAGUC
rnacentral:rRNA from 1 species